GUGGGGAAUAUUGGACAAUGGGCGCAAGCCUGAUCCAGCCAUGCCGCGUGAGUGAUGAAGGCCUUAGGGUUGUAAAGCUCUUUCAGUGGGGACGAUAAUGACGGUACCCACAGAAGAAGCCCCGGCUAACUUCGUGCCAGCAGCCGCGGUAAUACGAAGGGGGCUAGCGUUGUUCGGAUUUACUGGGCGUAAAGCGCACGUAGGCGGAUCGUUAAGUCGGGGGUGAAAUCCUGGAGCUCAACUCCAGAACUGCCUUCGAUACUGGCGAUCUUGAGUCCGGAAGAGGUGAGUGGAACUCCUAGUGUAAAGGUGGAAUUCGUAGAUAUUAGGAAGAACACCAGUGGCGAAGGCGGCUCACUGGUCCGGUACUGACGCUGAGGUGCGAAAGCGUGGGGAGCAAACAGGAUUAGAAACCCGAGUAGUCC
rnacentral:rRNA from 1 species